UAGGGAAUCUUCGGCAAUGAGGGCAACCCUGACCGAGCAACGCCGCGUGAGUGAAGAAGGUUUUCGGAUCGUAAAGCUCUGUUGUAAGAGAAGAACGUGUGUGAGAGUGGAAAGUUCACACAGUGACGGUAACUUACCAGAAAGGGACGGCUAACUACGUGCCAGCAGCCGCGGUAAUACGUAGGUCCCGAGCGUUGUCCGGAUUUAUUGGGCGUAAAGCGAGCGCAGGCGGUUUAAUAAGUCUGAAGUUAAAGGCAGUGGCUUAACCAUUGUUCGCUUUGGAAACUGUUAAACUUGAGUGCAGAAGGGGAGAGUGGAAUUCCAUGUGUAGCGGUGAAAUGCGUAGAUAUAUGGAGGAACACCGGUGGCGAAAGCGGCUCUCUGGUCUGUAACUGACGCUGAGGCUCGAAAGCGUGGGGAGCAAACAGG
rnacentral:rRNA from 1 species